GGGUGAUUGGCUCAGCUGGGAGAGCACCUCCCUUACAAGGAGGGGGUCGGCGGUUCGAUCCCGUCAUCACCCA
rnacentral:tRNA from 1 species